UACGUAGGUGGCGAGCGUUGUCCGGAUUUACUGGGCGUAAAGAGCGCGCAGGCGGUCGUUCAAGUCGCGUGUGAAAGCCCCCGGCUCAACUGGGGAGGGUCACGCGAUACUGAUCGACUCGAAGGCAGGAGAGGGAAGCGGAAUUCCCGGUGUAGUGGUGAAAUGCGUAGAUAUCGGGAGGAACACCAGUGGCGAAGGCGGCUUCCUGGCCUGUUCUUGACGCUGAGGCGCGAAAGCUAGGGGAGCAAACGGG
rnacentral:rRNA from 1 species